rnacentral:rRNA from 1 species
UACAGAGGGGGCAAGCGUUAUUCGGAAUUAUUGGGCGUAAAGGGCGCGUAGGCGGUCUGGCAAGUGGAAGGUGAAAUCCCUCGGCUCAACUGAGGAACUGCCUUCCAUACUGCUGGACUUGAGUCCGGGAGAGGUGAGUGGAAUUCCCAGUGUAGCGGUGAAAUGCGUAGAUAUCUGGAGGAACACCGGUGGCGAAGGCGGCAUCCUGGACCGGUAUUGACGCUGAUGCGCGAAAGCCAGGGGAGCAAACGGG